CAGUUUUGUUGAGAUGGAAAUGAUUCAAAAUAAUUCCUAUUAAGGAUUUUAAAGUUUUAUUGUUGAUAAAAUAUCACUUUUAGUUUAUAAAUGAGCUAUUGAUGUGUAUAUAUAUAUAUUGGAGAUUGGCAUUAUUAAAUGGGGAAAAGGAAAACGUUUUAUGUUUAUAGAAUUAUUCUUUAUUUAUAAUAGAUAAAUAAAUGAAUAAAAUGGAAUUUCCUACAUCCUCAAAGGUACAUGAAGUAUUUUGAUAAAGGAAGAACGAUUGUAUAUGAGUUAGAUAUAGUCGUUUAAGGAAAUAUGGGUAGUUAGAGAAAUGAGUGAAUAGUGAUUCACUGCAUUUGUUGUUAUCUUUUCUAUUAUUCACUCGAACACAUGUUUUCGUGUUAUCAAAGGUUCAAAUAAACAAAAGCGUCUGAGUAACCUAUCGCGCUAAGGAAAGAGAAUCGUUGUCUUAAGUAGCAAAACACUGCAAUCAGGUUGAGCUGAUGUGAUGAUGGUGCUGCAAUGAGCGGAGUCUCCAGGGUUGUUAAUAAAUAGUUAACCUGUCUAGAAUAUGUCUUCAUACAUAUGUCUAGCUACUUUCCGCUGCAAGAUGUUGUUAAUGUUAUAGUAUGUUAUGUCAUACUUUGAGUCUUAAGAGAAUGGUUUCAUAUGAUGUAUAACUCGAUUAAUGAUAUUAAUUAAGUUUUAUGUUGUCUUUCAUAGACUGUUCAAAAGAGUAUUAAUGAGUAAAUACGAUGAUUUUUCUUAAGUUAAGUAAGAUUUACGGUUUCAAA